rnacentral:lncRNA from 1 species
UCAUCUUUACUUUUGGUUGCUGGAUUGAAAGCUUCCUGAUCCGCACACGUGAGUACUUCAUGAGGUCCUGCCUCCUCACGGCCAACACCCAUCAAGUCAAGGUAGUAUUGGUAAUGAGAGACGAUGGUGUUCAUGGCAUCGAUGUCACCUUGACCGCAUACCAUUUCCCCGUAAAGAAUAUUCAUUGUGGCACCGAAACCAGGAGUUCGCUUGGCUAAAGUGUCAUUCUUGGUGGGCUUCCAGUUGCCGACGAAAGCAUCAUGUGAUGAAGGCUGCCCCUUCUUGAUUUCGGUCAUCCACCUCCAGAUUGCUGCCUGGAAUGCAAGGGUAGCAUUCUGUUCAAUGUAUUCUGGAUGGUUCAAUAGAUCCACCUUUAGGGCCUCACCAGCAGCACCAUAGUUAACGUUCCUGAGCAGCAGAGAAGUUAUAAAUAUAAGCAACCAGUACCAAAAGAUGUCAGGAACCCUCAAUUAUUUUUUCUUGACCUAACAAAGUAAUGACUAUAUGAUUGACAAGAUUUAAUCCAUAGCAAAUGAUCUAUGAAUUCAUCAAGGCAUAUAUAACUUCGCAAACCACCACCAAUACAAGGGUCAGAGUUUACUAAAUUUGUUACUGAAUCACUAUUAGAGUUGCAAAUUUAGUUGAGACAAAAGUAGCUAAAUGGGCAACUCAUUCUAUCAAUUAAGUACCAUAUACCAGUAAUAAAUCCAAAUCGGCUCCGCUUAAGAAGUAAGAAUCAGAAGCAGUGACAAAGGAAUAAAAAAAACUUACCAGUAGAUAGGCAGAGCACCACGUCCGUAGUAUUCAGCCCCAGGAGCACAUGGGUAUGUGUACUUGUACGAGUCAUCACAAUAUGUUUGGCUAGGACUCAAUUCUCUGUUGUAGCACAAACCCCAUGCCAAUGGUCCUCCAGUUGCGACUCCAUAACCACCUGCACGUUAAAUCAUCAACGCCAAUCUUGCAACUUGUUUAUAGAUAGAUGAAAAUAACAAAAGAUCAGUAAGAUUUUAGGCAACAAACAUAUUUGAGACUGAAACUCUUAAGGCAAUAUAGAUCGGCCAAAGACAGCAAAUAACAUCAGUAUGAUGAGCAAACUGAUAAAUGGUUUCCACUAGCCAAAAUUGACCAACAGUUUCCAAUUAGGCUUUAAUAAUAGGGGUUUUCUCAUAAAUACCUAAGUUCAAAAUUGUUUUUGUAAAAACACUACUAUCUUUUUUAAAUAAUUUGCAAAAAUACCAAACUUUCGAAAAUAUUUGCAAAAAUAUUGUAUGCAGCCUGUUGCAACCACACGCAACCAUACUUGCAACCAGCUGCAACCAUAUUUGCAACCCCUGCGGGGCCAAUUAACUGAAGUUGCAUAUGGUUGCAGACCAUAUUUUUGCAAAUAUUUUCUAAAAAGUUAAAAUUUGUGCAAUUUUUUCCAAAAGAUAGUAAAAUCGCAAAAAACAAACUUAGAAAAUGUGGUAUUUUUGAUAAAUUCCCUUAAUAUUAGUACAGAGUGGAAUUUUCGAUUCAAUUAAUAUCUAUAUUACUUCUGAACUACAGAGCAAAUCACUCCAAUGCAUAAAUGAACUUUAAAAAACAGCCUUAUAAUACGAAAUGAAUGUGGUUACAUGAUAAAAAAUAAUAUACUACAUAGUUUUCAUAGAAUAACUGAUGAGGUAUUUUAAUCCUAUGUUUCAAUUUUUGUCUAAUUUCACAGGUUUGCCUCAAUUUGAUAAAAGAACUAAAACCUAAGCAAAGGUUUGUGAAUGAGUAAAACUUACAGGAGGUUUUACUUCCAACAUGACCGAAAAACGCAGCAAUUUCCUUCAUCUGCAUAAGCUUUCCACCUGUGGUACCAAAGCCAAGAGGCUCAAACUGAGCAGCUGCCAGAAUGAAAGACUGGUAAUCCCAGAAUCCAACAGCAUGAGCCACAGGCGUAUUUCUCUUGGAGAAAAGCUCUUCAAACUGAUAAACCUGAAACAAAUCUGAGAUAGUUUGAUUACAACAAUACUUAGACCAUUGCUUAC